GAUGAACGCUAGCGGCAGGCCUAAUACAUGCAAGUCGGACGGGAUUUGGGAGCUUGCUCCUAAUGAGAGUGGCGCACGGGUGCGUAACACGUAUGUAACCUACCUUAAUCAGGGGGCUAGCCUCCCGAAAGAGAGAUUAACACCGCAUAACAUAUUUUUAUGGCAUCGUAGAAAUAUCAAAAAUUUAUAGGAUUAAGAUGGGCAUGCGGAACAUUAGCUAGUUGGUAAGGUAACGGCUUACCGAGGCUACGAUGUUUAGGGGAUCUGAGAGGAUGACCCCCCACACUGGUACUGAGACACGGACCAGACUCCUACGGGAGACAGCAGUAAGGAAUAUUGGUCAAUGGGCGCAAGCCUGAACCAGCCAUGCCGCGUGCAGGAAGACGGCCCUAUGGGUUGUAAACUGCUUUUGUACCGGAAUAAACCCUUUUACGUGUAGAAGGCUGAAUGUACGGUAAGAAUAAGGAUCGGCUAACUCCGUGCCAGCCGCCGCCGUAAGAC
rnacentral:rRNA from 1 species